UGUGUUGAGUAAGGUAGAUAUGUUGCUCUUAAUAAGGUGGGUUCACUCACUACUCAUUAUUGGUUGUCCAAAGAAAGGGAAUUUGGCAAGUAGCCUUAUUCUUUUAUAUUCAUAUUUUGGAAAGAAUUUAUUGAGAAAAAGAUAUUAAUACAAUUUUUCUCUCUUUUUUUUUUCAUUAAUCUUUAUUGGUUAAAAUUUUUGGAUUUUUUUCCCCUAAAAAUAUAAGGUGUUGAAAAUGAUUUCCUUAUUUCAUAUUGAUUAUGAUUUCGAAUAUAGAUUUAAACAUAUUUAAAAUCAAUACAAAAUGUAUUCCAAGUUAACAUAGCUAAUAUUUCAAAAUGCUUUUUAAAAUAGAAAUAAGAAAAUAAAUUGUAUGCAUGACUCUCCAAAGGUAAAGAAUAACAUCGUCACACAUAAUAAGACAGAUACAUGAAGCAGUAGAUAAUCUGUUAUAACAUGUUAAAUUAAGUAUCAGGUUAUGGCAACCAGGCGUCAGGGAACAAUUGAACCCCUAUCCUUUAAAGCCAUCAGACUCUUUGGAUUCUUUUUGCAUACAAGUAGGGAUUUCAAAAACUUUCAGCUGGUCAACUUAUUUCUUCGCUGAAGAAAUACAAAAACGUGUCGCCCACUUUGUAUGAUCUGGCUUGAACCUUUGGGUAAACUCUGCGGGAUCAAUAACCAUAACUGCACAGAGUGCAAUAGAAUUCCUCGGUACGGUUGCUAGGAUAUAGGAAAGGAAUGUAACCAUGGUAACAACUUCCAUGGAUUUAUAUGGUCCAUUCAACAACUUCAUUGCAUCAAAGGGGAUUUAUAUGAUGAUACCAUUGCAAAUUCGCGUCUUCCAGAGGCUUCCUUCCUUCAAGAAUACUCUGGAUAUCGUGCACUCCUGAACAAUUGGAUCCUGGAUAUGCAUGCUUGAGUUCACUCAAUAUGACAUAUUCAGAGUUGUAAGGCCAGGAGGACUCUUCUGCCUGUGAUCACAGUUACUGUAGCUUAUGUUCCUAUGCUGGAGCUGAAGUGGAAUGAAGUAGAUGCAGAGUCUCCAGAUAUGACAAUUUUCUGAAAUUGAGAAAGAUGGCAUGAUUUCUGUAAUUUUAAGCAGUUGACGAAGGGAUACAUGUUGAAUUCACUCGUGAAGUUCUGCAUCCAACUACUCCCACAGGGUUCUGCUCCAUUCCAAUCGGAACGACCAUACCAACAAUUUGUGAGAGACUUUAAAAGCAUCAGCUGUAUAAAAUAUUGAAUCAGUUCUUCUAUACUAGAACACUUAAUUGACCAUAUCUAGAAGAGAGCAGGAAAAUUUUUUAAUGUUCCCUCAAGAUUAUUAAAUAUUUUCCAUAAUCUCUGGAUUAUUUGUUACUUUUUUUAAGAGGCAAGCUCUUCAUAUGAUUACAAAAAGGAAAACUAAGAUAGUACUCACAGACAACCAAAUAUUAGUGUACACUGGUUAAUUGAGAUAGAGAA